ACAGCUAGGAUGUUGGCUUGGAAGCAGCCAUUCAUUUAAAGAGUGCGUAACAGCUCACUAGUCGAGCGACCGUGCAUGGAUAAUAAUCGGGCAUCAAGCAUACUACCGAAGCUAUGGAAUGAUACUUAGGUAUCAUUGGUAGGGGAGCAUUCCAGUCAGCGUCGAAGCAGUAUCGUGAGGUAUUGUGGAGCGUCUGGAAAAGCAAAUGUAGGCAUAAGUAACGAUAAUGGGGGUGAGAAACCCCCACGCCGAAAGACCAAGGAUUCCUGAUCAACGUUAAUCGGAUCAGGGUUAGUCGGGCCCUAACACGUACCCGUUAGGGGAAGUGGAUGGCAAACAGGUUAAUAUUCCUGUACCCGUUAUACAACAAAAGUGACGUAUAAGAGAGAUGUCUGGGUGCUGACGGAAUAGCACGCUGAGCUUAGGUUUCGGCCGAAGCGAAGGCAAGCAUCUUGUACCGAGAAAAGCGAGUAUAACGGCUCGUACCGUAAACGGACACACGUAGUUGGGUUGAGUAUACUAAGGCGCUCGAGUGAUCCACGGCUAAGGAACUCGGCAAAUUAACCCUGUAACUUCGGGAGAAAGGGUUCCUGUUAAGCGAUUGACAGGACGCAGAGAAAUGGCCCAGGCGACUGUUUAACAAAAACACAUGGCUAUGCAAAAUCGAAAGAUUAAGUAUAUGGCCUGACACCUGCCCGGUGCUGGAAGGUUAAGAGGAGAUGUCAGGAGCAAUCCAAAGCAUUGAAUUGAAGCCCCAGUAAACGGCGGCCGUAACUAUAACGGUCCUAAGGUAGCGAAAUUCCUUGUCGGGUAAGUUCCGACCUGCACGAAUGGUGUAACGAUCUGGGCACUGUCUCAGCCGUGAGCUCGGUGAAAUUGUAAUACCGGUGAAGAUGCCGGUUACCCGCAACGGGACGGAAAGACCCCGUGAACCUUUACUGCAACUUAGCAUUGAUUUUGGGUAAGUUAUGUGUAGGAUAGGCCGGAGACUAUGAAGUGGUGCCGCCAGGUAUCAUGGAGUCGCCGUUGAAAUACGGCCCUUGACUUGCCUGAAGUCUAAUCCCUCAGAGAGAGGGAGACAUUGCUUGGUGGGUAGUUUGACUGGGGUGGUCGCCUCCAAAAGAGUAACGGAGGCUCCCAAAGGUACCCUCAUGACGUUUGGCAAUCGUCAGUAGAGUGUAAUGGCACAAGGGUGCUUGACUGUGAGACCGACAAGUCGAACAGGUAGGAAACUAGGGCAUAGUGAUCCGGUGGUUCCGCAUGGAAGGGCCAUCGCUCAAAGGAUAAAAGGUACUCCGGGGAUAACAGGCUGAUCGCCGCCAAGAGCUCACAUCGACGCGGCGGUUUGGCACCUCGAUGUCGGCUCGUCACAUCCUGGGGCUGGAGAAGGUCCCAAGGGUUCGGCUGUUCGCCGAUUAAAGUGGCACGCGAGCUGGGUUCAGAACGUCGUGAGACAGUUCGGUCCCUAUCUGUUGUGGGCGCAGGAGAUUUGAGAGACCCUGUCAUUAGUACGAGAGGACCGUGAUGGACAAACCUCUGGUGUAUCAGUUGUACCGCCAGGUGCAGCGCUGAGUAGCUAUGUUUGGAAGGGAUAAGUGCUGAAAGCAUCUAAGCACGAAGCCUGUCUCAAGAUUAGAUCUCCAUAUAAGGGGCGUUAAAGACUAUGACGUUGAUAGGCUGCAGGUAUAAAGGUGGUGACAUCAAAGCCGAGCAGUACUAAUUACCCGAAACUUUCAGAG
rnacentral:rRNA from 1 species